rnacentral:lncRNA from 1 species
AGGGCUAUAGCCAUUUGUAGCGGUUUGAAUAUCUUGGAGGGAAUAAUUUUUCCAGGAAGGUUUGAAAAGGAGCAAGUCAUCAGUGUCAAGAGCAGCAGCAGGUAGAACAGGGACCAUGUUGUCUUUUAUGCGUUUGCUCUUGCGCCUGGUUAGUUUAGGAACUCCUUUGAGAUGUGAGAAUGUAUUUCACCAGAUACUGGCGUUAAUGAAACGGAUCCUCUUUUAAAGAAAGAGGUUGUCAUGAACGUAAGUGACAAAGGAGACUGGCCGAGGAAGUCCUGUAUACCAAUACACUCUGCCCAAACAAUCAGGUCCCGUCAAACUGCUUUCUUAAUCACUACAUUCGUUGUCUGCUUUGCGGUCUGUGCGGUUAUCUACCAUCCAAACAAGGUUACACAGUUUGCAGUGGCGAUCCGAGCGAGAUUGGCGCACAAACUUUGAUACAAAGUUCAAUGGCAGAGACUCUCAUAUUAACCCCGUGAAAGUGUGUUCAUCAAAGAAAGCUUGAAGGGAGCUGUUUUAAAAAAGCUUGUCUCAGCUUUCAACAGGGCUCAGCUACAGCUUCGCAGAUCAGAUGAGUUUUCCUUGCUCUUUCUCUGUGUUCAUCUUCUUCCCAAUUUCUUAAUGACUGGUGGUGGUGCUUCAACUGUAAUAACAAGAAAUGGUCUGCUCAGUGAUCUUAUUUUUCCUCAUAGAAUAGUGUUAUAUAUAAUGGGGUUUGCUUUAGCUGACUGUGUAAUGUUUGUUUUUGGUCUAAAAAUGAUUCUUGGACAAAUAAUAAUCGUAAUUUAGUCUUAUAUACAUUUGUUCUGCUUCAAGAUAUGGUCAGAUAUUGAUCGAUAAACUUUGUUGAAAACAAAUGGAGAUUCUCGAAAGAGUAGAUUUAAGAGGCUACUUUAGGAGUUUUGCUUCUAGACUCGAUGAUGUGAACCAAUCUGCGCUUUGAAGAACAAAGGAAGAAAUGGAACACGCCACCAAGUUGAGAGAGAGCAACACAAAAAUACUUAUAACCACUCAAAGAUUUGAUUGAAUGUAUAUGCUUCCUGGUUACUCUUUGGACUCAUUUGAUUGAUAAAGCUUCCAAAUAUACGUGUGCUAAAUCUUAAACAUGGCAUUCAAUUACUUUAGCAGGAAAGACUCAAAGAUAUACGUGUGCUAACAUGCAAUGAAUCAUCCACCUUCAUUUUUUUUUGUGGUAAAAUCCAAAUGAAAAGGAAAUAAUGCUCAAAUUUUAAUUUAGUGAUGGAUUAGUCAUCAAAAUGUCAUUAUCACUUUGGUAUAUGUUUUGGUGUUUUUGGUUUGGUACUUAAGGUAUGUGGUUCCCGCUAACGAUAGAAUAAAGACGAGUGUUUUGAUACACAUAUAUGAUACACAUUAGGUGCUAAGGUCUCUCUACAUAUUUCUUGUUACACAAGUAACUCUCUCAUCACUUUUGAAAUUUACAGGCAAUUAUUGUCAGCCCUACCGGUUGGGCUAACGCAGCGACUAUAGAUGUGGUCUAUGAUCUGCUUCAUAUGAUGGGACGUGACGACAUACCAGUAGGUCUAGGGGACAUGCUAGCAUUAAACCAGUCUGACCCAACAUCUCCAUCCGUUGGAGAUUGCUUGUAUGCCAAGGCCAUUCCUCAAGGCUGUGGCGGUUUUCUUGAUUCCGACACUCUCUAUGGCCUCGCUCGUGACCUCCCAAGAAGCGCUCGUAGGUACUUAAAUAUGCACUGUAAUAAAUAGAGUAGUCUAUGUCGUUAUAUAUAUGAUACACAUUAGGUGCUAAGGUCUCUCUACAUAUUUAUUUACUAACACUGUUUCUCAGAUACAUUGCAGAGACCUCAGUGGCACAUGGAGCUCCGAGUAACACUGAUAGUCCUGGACUUAGACAACCUUUGGCACUUGAAGUUUGGCAACAUGUGACCAAAUCCGUUAGUGAAGUGUCUAAGAUCACUGUACUAACCAAUGGACCAUUGACUAGCUUAGCCAAGAUCAUCUCAUCAGAUAAAAACUUAACCUCACUUAUCAAGGUGAGAAUCUUCUGUUACUUUCUCUCGUUUGAAGAUCUUUAGUUAAGAGAACUUUUAUGUAAAUUUGCAGGAAGUUAACAUUGUGGGAGGACAUAAACAUUAACAAAUCAGACAGAGGGAACAUAUUCACUGUUCCUUCAAAUGCAUACGCUGAAUUUAACAUGUUUCUUGAUCCUUUAGCAGCUAAGACUGUUCUUGAAUCCGGUCUAAACAUCACAAUCAUCCCUCUAGCCACCCAACGCAACUUGACCUCUUUUGAGAUGAUGCUCAACAGUCUCAACUCUACUGAUAGAACACCUGAAUCUCAAUUCGUGCACCAGUUACUCGCUAGACUACAUGCUCUUCAUCAGGAUCACAGGAGCUACAAGCAUGUGGUAGAAAUCUCUCUAGUCUUCCGCUUCCUAACGGUUUAAUAUUCUCUGGUUUUUAAACAAACACUUAACUGUUGUUCCAGGGAAUGUUCUUAGGAGAGGUUCUUGGAGCAAUGGUCUUGGGAGGAGACCAUGCUGUGUUGAAGCCAAAACUACGAGAUGAGCAAGUUAAAGUGAUCGCAGAAGGGUCUGAAUCGAAAGACGGUCAGAUAUUGAUUGAUAAACUGCAUGGAAGACGAGUACAGAUACUCGAAAGCAUCGAUUCAAGAGGCUGCUACGAGAGUUUCGCUUCUAAGCUCAAUGACAAGAUACAAUCUGCAAUCAUAGGAAGCUUUGAAGAACAAAGGAAGGCAUGGAUCAACAUCACCUAGCAGAACACUCAGAAGAAAGAAACGGACCACACCACCAAGCAGAACGCUUAGAAAGAAGAAAUGGAUCACAUAACCAAUAAAGGAUCUGAGUAAGUAUAUGUGCUUACAUAUUAUUCUCUGGUUUUGGCAGAAAAAUAUUAUUUAGCAAUUUUAACAGGAAAAACAUGAUUUUGAAGUUUUAAAAGAACUCAAUUUCAAAAUUUUUGUAAAGAAAAUAUCUAAUAUUAAUAAUUAAUAUAAACUAGUUGUUUUUUCUAUUUAUAUUGAAAGAUAUUUAAAACUUUUAGAUUUUGAGAUGGAAAUGCAACAUCCAAACUGUACUUUUGUUUCAUCUCAAAUAUCAAUUUUUUUUUUUAUGUUGUGUAUUUUGUUUCCAGAUUCAGCAUUUAGAGCUGAUGCAACUAUGUCCAAAUGAACAAAUAUUUACAUCUAGAUGCAUGGCCUAAGUAUAUGUGUUUACAUAUUAUUCUCUCGAGGUAACUGUUGUAAUUAUACAUAUUCCAGUUAGAAUAAGUUCACCAACGAUAACAACUCUACAAGAGACAUCAACAUAGAGUUUUUAGAAGAGGCUAAGAGAACAAAGUCUAACAAGCCUUACAGCUACGCCUGCAAUAGCCAGGAAGCUCAGCAGAACCAACCAUGUACUCUGGGUUCUUCGUGCAUUCUCCAAGCACCGCCCAUCUCUCACAGCUCUCGUUCAUAUCAGUGCAGUUUCCACCGGGCGCCACAAUCCUGUCAAAUGAGUCCACGUGGAUCCACUUGGUCGCUGACCAUUUCUCUCCUUCGAUCACAGGACAUCCACCGUGAAGGCUCAACGGGUCAGGGAUUGCGUCAGGGCGGAGGUUGAAGAACAACAAAGCAUCCCCUUUCCUUGGUUUCACUGAUAAAAAAAAACAUUACACCAAUAAAACACACACACAGAAACCAAAAAGUCUGUUUUGUUUUGUUUUGUUUUUGGUUUCUUACCGGCGAUUCCUUUCUUAGCACAAUCAGAAAGGUCUUCUUGGUUCUCAGAUAGUACCCGACGAGAAGGUAUCUAUUAAAACAAAAACAGAUGUUUAUGUAAAGAGAGAACAAAUGAACCAAUACAAGAACUUCAUCUGACCUCUGCAUUGGGGAAGACGGUUUCUCCACCUCUUGUGACAUUAGAUAGAUACAUGAGAACCGUUGCUAUGCGGUGUCCACCACGGACAAUGUUGACUUUGUCAUGGAAGUAGUCGAAGUGAGCAUCGUAUUUUUGACCGUGCUCGUAUCUCAAUACCUGAAUGUCUUCUCCGUUCUCUGUCACAAACAGAAAAUUAAAUGACUUUCAUCUUGUCAAGCAUAUGAGAUUUCAAGUCUUGGUUAGUACCUUUAGGAAGAAAUGUCCAUGUGGAGAUCUUGUCUUCUAUACCGGCAACAAUGGGAUCCUGUGAUCAAACAGAGAGAAAAGAUAAAACUUCACAUAAAGACAAGUAAGAAUCAAGGAAGGGAAGCAAAGAGAGAGAGAAAGUUUGAACCUUUGCUUUGGGGAUGAAGGUGCCAGAGCUGGUUCGAACCUCGCUGAGCUUGCUCUCUCCACUAUCAUUAUCAGCGACAGCUGAUCUCUUAAGGCUCGCUUUUGCCUUUUUACCGACCAAAUGAAAAAUUAGAACCAGACAAGUUUCCAAAUUAAAGCUAAAGAUGAAAUGAAGAGAAACUCACAAGGGAAACGAUAUGAUCACAUUCCAAUUCCGUGAGGAACCCUUCAUACACAAACGCCCUGAAACAAAGAAAAACCAUAUAAUUCUCCGAUUCAUCAUUGAAAGGUUCAAACUUUCCCAAAGAUCACUCGAGGGCAAACCUGGGUUUCGAUGAAACCUGCUUGACUCUGGAAGGAUUAACAAUGGCGCUAGUGGAAGAUUGAAUCAGGACGGAGAAGAUGAUAGGGAAGAACAAUAACAAUACAUUAUGAGACAUCGACAUCGUAGUUGAUUAGAUCUAGAAUGAACGAGGGUCGGUACGAGGAAAGAGAAGACGGAACUAAGAAAAGACAUUGAUCUCGUAGUUUAUUUAUGCUCUUGUAAUAACGACAAAACAGUUUUGCAUGUCAGGUUUUUAGAAUGUUGUUAUACCGUACCGGAUCUUGCGUAUGCCCGGUCCAGCUCCAUUCAAUUUCAGAUAAUGUAAUUAUGCCUUGUCUUUUCUGUGAAAUGACCAUCUUAUACUAGUGUUGUAUUUGAUUUUUUGUAUUGAACAUUUUUCAAAUUUGAGAUUAUAUAUUUUAGUAAUAAACAUAUAGAACAAAUAGAAUAACAUUUAACAAACAAUUAGUCAAAUAAGGAAGAACACAACAUCAUCAAAUACCAUAUGCAACAAGUGAAAUCAUUCUCUUUGUAACUUAACAAGUAAGAUGUUUCAAGAGUCGUUAGAUGUUCCGAGAACAGUCUCCAUGUGUCGAUUAAUGUCGUUCAAAUAUUUUGUUGAGUUGUAUUCUUCGUUAUCCAAUAGUUCUUCUGAGUAUGUCCUCUGCAGUUUUGAGUUUUCUCCUUCUUUUAGCUUAUCUAAGCUGCACUUGUCUCCCUUCAGAAUCUCCACAACCUGUGUGUAUGUAUCAUAAAUUAUUAUAUAUGUGUGACCAUGUUAAUCACUUUUGCUAAAGAAAAGUGUGAAUGUUUUUGUUAUGCGUGCCUGGCUCAUGUGAGGCCGGUUCAUGGAGGUUUGGUGUAUACACAAGGACGCUAUGGAGACAAGACGGUCCAACUCUUCUAAGUCAUAGUCAUCUCCCAAAAUCGGAUCAACAAGUUCUUUGAUCUUGUUAUCUUUGAUCAAUGGCUUGGCCUACAAAAACAUAGAUAGUCCAUGUUGGUACUUUCACAAAGAAAUGGAUUAUUAAUAAGAAAUCUCAUGUAACCCUCUCAUAUUCCAUUUAAGUUUCCAAUAAGGAGAAUCUCAUGUAAGUCUUUCAUAUUUUAUAAAAUUCAAAAUUAUUAUAAUAUUAGAUAAGUAUUACAAAAGUUGAAAAAUCUACUUAAAUUUUGUAAAUAGAAAAUUUGGAUGAAUUUCUCAACUUUUUGAAACACCUUUUUAUAACAGUUUUUGGUUUGUGGAAAUGUAUGAGACUUCACAUACUAUCAUUAGAGACGGUCUAACAAUCUACUCACAUUGGUUCUGUGACCAAUAUCCAUGUCAGUACGUAUGAGAUAAGGGCUCUAUCUAGCUAUAGGGUUUAAGAGAGGGUUACACAUUACAUACCCACAUGACAACGCUAUGUUGUGAGCUGUCGAUGGCUUGUUUACCAGUAAUGAGCUCAAGAAGCAGUACACCAAAAGCAUAUACAUCUGUUUUCUCGUCUACAAUCCCGUGCAUGAAGAACUCUGGCGGAAGGUAACUGAUGUAUGAAACACAUAAGAGAUCAUUAUGUGAGAUUUAAAAAGUCCAAGAGAUGAGUGAAUCCAUGUAUAUAUGAUCUACAUCAAUGAGAGAUUCCAAACCCGAAUGUUCCUUCCACUUUGGAUACAGUAUGGUGAGUCCAUUGGUCUGGUAGCCAUUUCGCCAGCCCGAAAUCAGAUAUCUAAGAAAGAAAGGGAUACGGUUUUGAGUUAUUCUUAUUCAGAGCCGGAUUAGUGAUUGAAGUUUUAUAAACAUUUUUAAAUUAACUUUGUAUGAUAGCUCUUUAGAAUUUUGGAGCUGAACAUUUUAUCCGGCUGUGCCAGAAAUGAAUAUGUUCUUAUUUAAAAAUCAUAAGUUUGGAAGAAUAUAUAUUAGGGUAGGUAGAUCUUAGAUUUGUCUUAAUAAUCAUUACCUGAGCCUCAAAGUUCUCAGUGAGAAGGAUGUUAGAAGCUUUGAUGUCUUUAUGAAUGAUCCUUCUCUGACAACCUUCAUGGAGAUAGUACAGUCCCUCUGCUGUUCCCAUCGCCACUUUGUAUCUUAUGCUCCAGUUCAGUUUCUCUUUUGCCUCUACAAAAAUGUUAUAAAAAUCUCAGGUAGCUCUUUGAAUCAUCAAAUGAAUGAUUUACAAGAUUACUUGAGAAAACAUCAAAUAAGAAAAGAGAUUUAUUCACCGUAUAGCAAAGAAGCGAGGCUUCCAUUAGGAGAUAGCUCAAGAACAAGAUGCAUUCCUCCUUCAACACAAUAUCCAAUAAGCUUAGCAAUGUUUGGAUGGUCUACAUGAACUAUGAUCCCUAGUUCUGACAAAUAAUCCAUAGUCAUCUCUUCCGCAGACCCUCUAGUCAGUUUCUUUACGGCUACUAUUUGCCCAUCUGCCAUCUCUCCUUUUUUUACAUCCGCAUAUCCACCUUCUCCGAUCAGAUUCUCUGCCAUAAUAUCCACAAUAUUCAUGUCACAUUUUUCCGUAUAUAGACAAAAUGUAACAAAGAUUCUCAGAUGUAACAAAAUAACAUAAAAAAUGUAACAAAGAUUCUUUAACAAAAUAACAUACAGCAUGUAGCAAAGAUUCUUUAAAAAAAAAGAUUCUUAGAAGUAAGAUUUUCUAACCAGGGCUAUAGCCAUUUGUAGCGGUUUGAAUAUCUUGGAGGGAAUAAUUUUUCCAGGAAGGUUUGAAAAGGAGCAAGUCAUCAGUGUCAAGAGCAGCAGCAGGUAGAACAGGGACCAUGUUGUCUUUUAUGCGUUUGCUCUUGCGCCUGGUUAGUUUAGGAACUCCUUUGAGAUGUGAGAAUGUAUUGAAUGGCAUCGCUGAUGAUCCUUUCUUGAGUAAACGGUGGAAACCUCU